UGAAAUUAAAUGAAAUUUCAUGCAAAGAACACAACUUAAAAAAUCCCAGCAAAUAACAACAGAACCUUUCCACUAAUGAUUUUCAGUCAUCAGAAGUAGAGAGAGACUCAGACAGCAGACAGCAUGGUCCCAGCAUGCUUUUUGCCUUUUUUUUGUUUGCACAGUAGCUGUCAGUUGCAGCCCUGCAGGUAGUAGAACCCAGUGGGAAGAGGGGCGGGACAGAGCGAUGCUGCCUGAACUGACAGCAAAUUUAAAUUACUGAGCUUUCUUUUUUCUUAUUUUUUUUUCUUUGCGUGAUUUUUUUUUCUUGUAUUUUUCUACUCUGCGACAAACUGAAAAGAUUCUAGCACACGCUAAUUUAACAACCCUGCUUCUUCGUCUUCUUUUUUUUCCCCUCCUCUGCUUUCAGGAUAAUUAAAAGAGAAUCCUGUAAAGGCAACAUUCCUUCAAGCAAGUUGGUGCUGUAACGUGCGGAUGAUUUUCACAAGAUAAUUGGAUGGCUGGUCACCAGGGAGUGCUUAAGUGUUCCCAGACUCUUGUCGGCAGGGCAGAACAGAGCGUGCAAAAGAAGUCCCAGGACCACCUCUGCAAGGGCUCCACACCAAACUUCAGACUCAACCCACUUCCAAACUCAGACCUGGUGCCAUCCUCCAGGAUAUGACCUUCUCAGAUCUCUCCAGACCUAUUCUACAGCCCAAGAGCUGUCCUCUGAAAUACCUACAGAGGUAUUGAUCCCGGGGAACCACACAAUAUAUGAAAACAUUCUGAUGAAGUGGACAAAGAUCAGAAGUCAUGGCACAGAAGUGGCAAGAAAAGUAGAAGACCGAAGUGAGAGGCUGUACUCAAGCAUGAGAGGACUGAACUAAAGUCAGGCUACAGCCACCAGUUCUCAGCCUAACAGUCAAGAUACCUCUUUAAAAAUAUGUCUUGUAAAAAAAAUGCCGGACAGUGCAGAGCUGCUACCAGCUCAAAAUAUGACAAGGAACAAACUCCCACAUCCACUGAAGUCUUUUUCAUUGCAUGUUUUAUGCCAUGUCCUCAGUAUACUUGCAGUCGUUAGCAAGACUGAUGGUAGUCUGGCUUCUCUUUCAAUGACUGUGGUGGGUGGGGACCACAUGCACAUUCUCAGAAACAUGCCAUGUUUGUAAUGUUUCCCUCAGUGAUGUAAUAUCUCUGUGAGCAUAAACAUUCCUUGUUCUUAAUGUUCUCAUUAGUCACCAACAUGUAGUGUUUAUGAAAAGAUAAACAUGUUUCAGAUGAUGAUGUUCUCUGCAGAACCUUAAAUAUCUGUUUUUCUGAGCCCUACCGAAUUUUCAUUCCAUUUAUACCUCCUUGCUACUAGAAAACAGAUUACCAUCUGUCCUACCUCAGUGGACAAGAAGAAGAACAGUUGAUAGUAAUCUAUUCAAGACAUAUAUUUGCAUCUUUAAAUAUUUUUACAUCAUAUAUAAUCUUUACAUUUUUGUGUUUUGAAGAUAGCACUUCAUCACUGAGACAUUUGAGAAAUGGUUUUCAUAUUUUCAAGCUCUUAUCCUCUCUAAAGAAUACUCAGUCUUGCAAAGAUUGAGUUUCAUCUUCUUUUUCUUUGCCUCAACUCCAGACCUUCAUUUUUUUCUCUCUAACAUGACUGAUUUCUCAGCAUUCCUCUGGCUCAUUGUCAUACAAUAUCAUUGUCCUCUCACAGGACUGAUCCCUCUCAUGUGAAAUCUGUCUCUGCUAAUUCAUCCAUGCUUUUGUUCACUCAUAGUUAACCUGAACUGUGGCACAAUGAGUUGGCUCAUAGCUGAAGACUAGAGAUUUUCAGCUUUUAUGCAAAGUAGGGUAUAGAAUCAUAGCAUCAUAGAAUCUCUCAGGUUGGAAAAGACCUUAAAGAUCAUCGAGUCCAACCA